GCUAUCCAGGCAGCAGUUGGACGUGGCAAUGCACCUCGUCAGGGCAAAGAAGUCCAUCAUGACCUGGGUCAGGAAACAGCUAGUUCCAACGUACUUCAUUAUGAACCUGAAAAGUACCGCAAUAAGAACACCCACAGGGCAAGGGCAUUAAAUAUUGCUCCAAAAGAGAAAAUGAGGAUAUACAGAGCAAAUUCAGUGAGACGAACAUGGUGAUUCACUUCUACAUCUGCUACACUGCAGCUGUUGGACUUAUUCAUUGUCCUGAUGUGUGGAUGGCAUGUGAUGUUCUGAGACCUGAAAUGGGGAAAAAAUGGUUAAGACUUUUCUCCUACCUCUCAACAGAUUCAUGACUUCUAUAAACAAAGGGCUAGUUCUGAUGCCUCCUACUCAGGAUGGAGAAACUAACAGUCCCUUCCUCCUCACCUCCUCAUCCUCUGUGACUUCACCAACUGGUUUUGAAGUGCCCAAACUGGUCCAUGAAAAGGAUGCUGUGAGGUAAGCCAAACUAAGGAAAACAGCAAGGUAGUCAUCGUAAACACAGAACUGCUUCAAAAGACCCUGGAAGGGGAUGCAAGGGUUCAUUUAGACAGGAAAAAAAAAAAAAAAAAACAAGCAAGCAAGCAAGCAAGCAAACAAACAAACAAAAACUCUUCUGGAAUUACUUAUCUCCCAUGGUGGGAAGACUUUAGUUUCCAGCUGCCAGAUGCUGUUGGAAAGUAACACGCUGUGAUCUUCCUAAACACCUCAGAGUAAGAAGAGAGAAGUCUCAGCGACAGCAGCCUGCUGAACAGGUCUCCGCACGAGGGAAUGCAGUGGUGUGGAGAAAUGGGUCCUCCAAAGGGUGCCUCCUCCA